CACGCCGUAAACGAUGAGUACUAGGUGUAGGGGGUUUCCGCCCCUUAGUGCUGCAGCUAACGCAUUAAGCACUCCGCCUGGGGAGUACGACCGCAAGGUUGAAACUCAAAGGAAUUGACGGGGGCCCGCACAAGCGGUGGAGCAUGUGGUUUAAUUCGAAGCAACGCGAAGAACCUUACCAGGUCUUGACAUCCCAGUGACCACUCUAGAGAUAGAGUUUUCCCUUCGGGGACAUUGGUGACAGGUGG
rnacentral:rRNA from 1 species